rnacentral:lncRNA from 1 species
GUCAUAUGUCCUUGUAAGCAGUCUUUUCCAACAGGCUUCAGGGCAGCUAAGGGAAAGAAUUCAGGAGGUCAGGUGCCUAUAGGAUCUUUUCAGGUGAACUCAAGCUACUUAAACUCAUUAAUUUGAAAGGAGGCAUUUGAAGGAUUACACAUUUAAUUUAAGUAAAUGGUUUGAUAGACUGACGCACAUGAAUGCUUCUAGGAGGUGUUCUGUUUCAACAUCCAGUAAUUAAAAAAAAAAAAAAAAAACCACACACACACACACACCCCAAUACCUCUAGAGAAAGAAAUGCUUUAAAAUAUUUCCUUCUAUUUAACUCUCCAUUCUGAACCUUUGUAGGGUGAUAAGUAUUAAAUCCAUUUCUGGCUUCAUAGAGCUGGUAAAUCAUCCGCUGGGAUAUUUUAUUCAAAGUUUAGCCCUGAUGUGGUUGACAUUAUCUGUGGCUGUUGCUGCAGUUUGGAGCUGGGUAUGAGUGUGUUUGCCUCCCGUGGUAUCAGAGCGAGGUGAGGUUUGUCGACUCUGAUAUCGCAACCUGUACCCACUCUUCGGGCAUCUUCAGUCAGCCAGGAAGCACGGGGGCGAGAGGACUCUUUCUGUUUAAAUUAAUGUGGCUGCAGUAAUUCCCCUAAGUGUUCUUUUAGAAGUCAAUGUUGGGAAAAACCAGCAGGAGCUUGGGUGUAAUGCUUUCUGGUUCUCUUCCCAAGCAAUGCCGUGAGCUUUGACAGUGUCGUAAUUAAGUGGAGACCAAAAAAAAAAAAAAAAAAAAAAGUGUGCUAAGAAAGGAUGGUGGUUUGAAGUGGAAAAAUUGACCGUGUGGUUAAGAUUUGGUGAAUGGUGCAGCCUCACCUCUUCAAGUGUCUUCAAAGGGAAAAGAGCCUAUCUUCACUUCUGAUUACCACUAAUUAACAGGAGAUGGGUCCACUUGGAUUCCCAUGGUACAAGUUUAGGCAAGUGGCUUUCUGAGAAUGAAGUCCAUUCUUUCCUUAUUCUUGGGGGGGAAGGGGGGCAAAUAAUAAAUGUUCUCUUGGUGUU